CCCUUAGAUGUCCUGGGCCGCACGCGCGUUACACUGAUGCAUUCAACGAGCUUAUAACCUUGGCCGAGAGGCCUGGGCAAUCUUGUUAACGUGCAUCGAGAUAGGGAUAGAUUAUUGAAAUUAUUAAUCUUGAACGAGGAAUUCCUAGUAAACGCAGAUCAUCAAUCUGCAUUGAUUACGUCCCUGCCCUUUGUACACACCGCCCGUCGCACCUACCGAUUGGAUGGUCCGGUGAAGCCUCGGGAUUGUGGUUCUUGCCGCUUUAUUGUGGCGUGACCGCGAGAACUUGUCUAAACCUUAUCAUCUAGAGGAAGGUGAAGUCGUAACA
rnacentral:rRNA from 1 species